rnacentral:rRNA from 1 species
AUACGGGGGAUUCAAGCGUUAUCCGGACUUAUUGGGUUUAAAGGGUGCGUAGGCGGGAGGUUAAGUCGGUGGUGAAAUUUUGCAGCUCAACUGUAAAAGUGCCAUUGAUACUGGUUUCCUUGAGUGUGGAUGAAGUAGGCGGAAUUUGUGGUGUAGCGGUGAAAUGCAUAGAUAUCACGAGGAACUCCGAUUGCGCAGGCAGCUUACUAAACUACUACUUACGCUCAGGCACGAAGGCGUGGGGAUCAAACAGGAUUAGAUACCCUGGUAGUCCACGCAGUAAACGAUGAUUACUAGCUGUUUGCGAUACAAUGUAAGCGGCUGAGCGAAAGCGUUAAGUAAUCCACCUGGGGAGUACGGUCGCAAGAAUGAAACUCAAAGGAAUUGGCGGGG